GUCCAUUUUUUUUUCUCUUUUUAUUGUCUUAUUAAUAACAAAGCAAAUACUUACGCAUAUUUAUACAGCACAUUCAGAGAGAAAUCAAGAGAGAGAACGCUAACAUAUUGACGACACAGAAAAACUGAAAACAAAAAAAAUAGUGGAAAUGUUCAUUCUCCACCACAUCACUUCCUGUUCAAUUUUAAAAAAAUGUCUCAAGGGCAGCAACUCAAAAAGGUUCAAAAGCAAGGACAAUCUUUGGUAUCAGAAAUUUAAAACAAAAAAAAAAAAGUAUCCUCCCCUUCUUUAUUAAAAUCUUAAAUUUAAACAUUGACAGAAGUUUAAAAAUGUUACAAUACUGUAUUUCCUGUGUGACAUCCUAUCACAAGGUGACUUCCUUCUGCACAAUGUGUAAUGCCACACAUGUUUAAGUCUCUACAUUAGUUGGUAGCAUAUUGCAGAGUCAAAAAACAAGUAUAAUAACUCUUGUUGCACAAAAAUUACAGAAAAAAAAAAAAAAAAA